rnacentral:rRNA from 1 species
UAGGGAAUUUUCGUCAAUGGGGGGAACCCUGAACGAGCAAUGCCGCGUGUGUGAAGAAGGUCUUCGGAUCGUAAAGCACUGUUGUAAGUGAAGAAUGCCAUAUAGAGGAAAUGCUAUGUGGGUGACGGUAGCUUACCAGAAAGCCACGGCUAACUACGUGCCAGCAGCCGCGGUAAUACGUAGGUGGCAAGCGUUAUCCGGAAUCAUUGGGCGUAAAGGGUGCGUAGGUGGCACGAUAAGUCUGAAGUAAAAGGCAACAGCUCAACUGUUGUAUGCUUUGGAAACUGUCGAGCUAGAGUGCAGAAGAGGGCGAUGGAAUUCCAUGUGUAGCGGUAAAAAUGCGUAGAUAUAUGGAGGAACACCAGUGGCGAAGGCGGUCGCCUGGUCUGUAACUGACACUGAUGCACGAAAGCGUGGGGAGCAAAUAAGAUUAGAUACC